rnacentral:rRNA from 1 species
AAUCAACGCUGGCGGCGUGCCUCAGACAUGCAAGUCGAACGAUUAAAGCUCUCUUCGGAGAGUGCAUAAAGUGGCGCACGGGUGAGUAACACGUAAGUAAUCUACCCUCGAGUGGGGAAUAACGUCCGGAAACGGACGCUAAUACCGCAUAAUGCAGCGGCAUCGCAAGAUGACAGUUGUUAAAGAUUUAUCGCUUGAAGAGGAGCUUGCGGCAGAUUAGCUAGUUGGUAAGGUAAUGGCUUACCAAGGCUACGAUCUGUAACCGGUCUAAGAGGACGGUCGGUCACACUGACACUGAAUAACGGGUCAGACUCCUAC